UUUGAUCCUGGCUCAGGACGAACGCUGGCGGCGUGCCUAAUACAUGCAAGUCGAGCGAUGAUUAAAGAUAGCUUGCUAUUUUUAUGAAGAGCGGCGAACGGGUGAGUAACGCGUGGGAAAUCUGCCGAGUAGCGGGGGACAACGUUUGGAAACGAACGCUAAUACCGCAUAACAAUGAGAAUCGCAUGAUUCUUAUUUGAAAGAAGCAAUUGCUUCACUACUUGAUGAUCCCGCGUUGUAUUAGCUAGUUGGUAGUGUAAAGGACUACCAAGGCGAUGAUACAUAGCCGACCUGAGAGGGUGAUCGGCCACACUGGGACUGAGACACGGCCCAGACUCCUACGGGAGGCAGCAGUAGGGAAUCUUCGGCAAUGGGGGCAACCCUGACCGAGCAACGCCGCGUGAGUGAAGAAGGUUUUCGGAUCGUAAAACUCUGUUGUUAGAGAAGAACGUUAAGUAGAGUGGAAAAUUACUUAAGUGACGGUAUCUAACCAGAAAGGGACGGCUAACUACGUGCCAGCAGCCGCGGUAAUACGUAGGUCCCAAGCGUUGUCCGGAUUUAUUGGGCGUAAAGCGAGCGCAGGUGGUUUCUUAAGUCUGAUGUAAAAGGCAG
rnacentral:rRNA from 1 species